UACGAAGGAUCCAAGCGUUAUCCGGAUUUAUUGGGUUUAAAGGGUGCGUAGGCGGGCUAUUAAGUCAGUGGUGAAAGCCCCAAGCUUAACUUGGGAACUGCCAUUGAUACUGAUGGUCUUGAGUACACUUGAGGUGGGCGGAAUGUGUCAUGUAGCGGUGAAAUGCUUAGAUAUGACACAGAACACCGAUUGCGAAGGCAGCUCACUAAAUUGUAACCGACGCUGAGGCACGAAAGCGUGGGGAUCAAACAGG
rnacentral:rRNA from 1 species